CCCUCUCCCCAGAGAGGGGACAGAUAGGGCGGCGGGAGAGGGGUUAAGAUAAGGACUUCAAGAGCGAGUUUCUCCUCCCCACGUUGGGACGCUGGCCCUGGGUUCCCGACCCUCUGCGGGCGCGCAUCUCGGGCCGUCGCAGGCGGGAGGGUGGGAUGGGGCCUCGGGCGGCGCGCGCCGCGGUUCCCACCGGCUACAUGCACAUCCCUGCCCCACGAGAGCCCCGGGUGGGGACCGGGACGGGCUGGGCUGGGCUGCGUCCGCGGGCCUGACUUCGGGCUCGGCCCGCGGUGCUCCCGGGACGGUCACCGCGAGCAGAGGCCCCGCGGCCUGGGGACCCGGCUGGCGCGGGCGCGGGUGGACCUCCCGGCCGGCAGGGGGCGCGAGGCGGGGAUGCUGGCCCCGAGGGGUCCACGGAUUUUGAGAACAUUAAAUUCGACUUCUUUUAUGCUUUUCAGUGACCCACGCUGGUAAAACUCAAACAGGGCAGAAGCAUUAAAAUAACCACCGUCGUCCCACAGCCUUGCCUCGCGAAGGAAUCCCGGCCUCCAGUUCGGGAGCAUCUUCCCAGGCCUCCUCCAGAACAUUCGCUCACACACGGAUACUCAGGCUCGCAGACGUAUACGGACGCACACGCAUAUGUACGCAGACACACGUGCACCCAGACUCACAGGAACACGCGGACACGUGGGAACACUGAUUACGUAAAGAGCAUUCCCCCUCCUCAGCUUCCUCUGUCUGUGGACCAGCUCCGCGCACCAGCUCUGAAGGUGUUUCCAUUGGGUGAAGGCACUUGGUGGCCUUGCACGCUGCACGAGUUCUGAGCUUCAGAAUGUGUCACUGCAGGCUGUUGGGUUCAGGAGCCAGUCUCACACAGGUGAAUCCCGACAGGACCCACAGACAGAUGAGGACGGAGACAGGAGGAGACUGAGUCUGCAGUGUGCCAACCCUGGGCUGCCCCUGUGCUUGGCUGCCACACUGUCUCACCUGGGUCUGGGCUGAGGACCUGGCCCUGGAGACCAAGGACAUUCCAGAGCUUUGGUUUGGAAUCCUCAGUUCCGUGGACGUGGAUGUCCUCGUGGAGUGUGCACGAGCCAGACAGGCCUGGGCUGGAGCUCGUGCCUCUGCUCUCUGCGAGUCUGUUUCCCCAUGGUCAGAUGGGAGAGUGAGGGCUCCCAGCUUGCAGAAGGGCAGGAACUGGUGCUGUUGACCCGGGGUGGCACUGGCAUGAUCUGGAGAAGAACCUGGCUUCUGGUUUGGGGUUGGCCCCCACCCGUGAGGCUGGUACCUGUUUUGUCUGUGGACAAGUUAUGCUGUGAGAUUGUCUUUGCCAAUAAUUUAUUUAACACAAGUUCACUGGGAUUAUAACAAUUUCACAAGCCAGUAGCAUACAGGAUAAUGUCUCUUAAUAAGGCAAUAAAGAAAUAAAAAGGGGCUGGCCCUGCGGCCUAGUGGUUAAGUUUGGCACGCUCCACUUCGGCAGUCUGGGUUUGGUUCCUGGGCACAGACCUACACCACUUGUCAGCAGCCACACUGUGGCAGCAGCUCGCUCACAAAAUCGAGGAAGAUUGGCACAGAUGUUACCUUAGGGCAAAUCUUCCUCAGCAAAAAAAGAAAAAGAAAGAAAUUGUAUACUCCAAACCAAUGAUCGACUAAUUACACUCUUGUUCCAGGCAAAGGGGAGAGGAAAGAAAUAAAGUCCAAAUUUACUUGAGGUGUCCCUUUCUCUGAGCUGAUUCUUGGACAAGUCGACUUAGAGCUGACAUCCAGCUGCCAUUGCAAAGUUCCAGCUGUUCCCUGGCCACAGUCGCUCUGCCACGGUUCUUGUGGAGAAGACCCCAGCAGCGCCUGUCACCUGCGCUCCUGCGUGCUUACAGACAACAAAUGACGAAUGUCAACGACGGCUUCCUGGCACGGCUUCCUCGGCGUGGACAACCUCAGAUGGGGCAGCUCCACUCUUGUCCUACAUAAGUGGGCUUGAAGUCGCGUCAAACCGAGACACAGCAGCCCCGCGUCCCAUGCUGCAGACAUCCACACCCGACUGGGGUGGUUUGUGUGCCGCAUGCGGUUGGAAUUCCUCCCCAGAAACAGGGCAGACUUCUCCAACCGGUUUUUAUUUUGUCCUUAAGCCACAUAUUUGAAAAUUGCUUAAUCAAAGAGGGUCAUGAACUAAAUCUCAGGCCUGGCUCUGGGGCCCCAGGAGGGGAGUUCGUGAACGUGGGCAUCACUGGGCAGCUGAUGGCUCCCUCCGGGUCCUGUGCACGCCCUGUCUCGGUGGACUGGGUCUCCCACCUGGCCACGGCCAUUGAUUGAGGGCCUACUAUGUGCCAGGCAAGGUCUUGGGUGUUUCCCACAAACGCUCUUGCGCACAACCACCCUGGGAAGGAGGGUGGCUACCCCCACUUUGCAAGUGAGGAAGCUAAAGCUCAGAGAUGAAGUGGCUUGCCCUAGUUCACGCAGCGGGUGAGAGGCAGAGCUGGGAUGUCAGAUGCCAGAUCCCACAUCCUCUGUCUGUGUCCAGAGGCUGUCUGCCCCUCGGGCAGGACGGGAAGACCAAGACCACAGACGUAGUGACCUGUGUCACUGGGAGAGAGCGGAAGAGAGAUGAGCCUCUGGCUCAGGCAGACAAAUCAGGGAAGCUUCUGGGAGGUGGCCCUCGGCCUUGGCAUGAGGGAUCUAGAGAGAGAUGGGAAGGCAUGCAGGAUAAGAGAUUUGUGAAUACAGGGAGGCAGUGGGAGCGAUUGUGGGAUGUGGCUGGAGGAGCGCACUCAGGCAGAUGGGCCAGUGCUGGCCUGGUCUGGGCUCACUGGGACAGACCGGGGGCAGACUGUCCUGGGAGAGAGGCCAGCGUGGGCUGGGCGUGAGGGCCUGCGCCACCAUCUUCCUGCGCACAGCGUCACCGGUGAGAAGUCUGUGGCCAGGCUGACUUGUUCUUUUGGAGGAGAUGCCAUCACCAGCCUCCCUGACCACAGCAAGCCUCACCACGAGAGGCCUUGUUGUUAAUGCUAAGGUCUCUCCAGGAGGAGCUUAGGCCUCUUAUCGUAACCUGAAGUGUACGUGGAAGCGUGUUUUCCAACUGAGCCUGCGCAAGAGGAUACCCACCUCUCCCUUUUGAAUAUUCAUCCCCCAUCCCAAAUAAAUGUCCCUGCUUCCCGUUGUCUGGGGACGCCAUGACUCUGGAGAUGAUAGACAACUACUUCUGGCGGAGAGUCUGAUUUAACUCGCUAGGAGGGACCCCCUUCGGUUUCGGUAACAGUUCCUUUUACUGGAGAAGGGCUUUCUCCAGGGAGAAAUCCAGAUUGCAUGUGACCACAGCUACUGGAUGUGCCUGCUUUCAGGUGCUCUCAGGGGACAAAGCAAGGAGUUAGAUGUGUGUCUGGUAACCCCUGUGUGUACACAUCUGCAACUGUUGAUGAUGAGGAUCAAGGCUGCCCCAGGGAGAAGCCCAAGGUGACCUGCCCUACAUACCCAUCUAUAUCAUCCUCCGGAAACACAGGAUGUCCUGACCUGAUCCGAUCUGAUCCUUAUCUAAAGUUAUAGGACCCCCCAAUAACCGGACCCCACCUACACUGACACCAUUUUAAUGACUUUUUUACAUGAUCUUUCCUUUGUCUUGUAAAGAAAUAACUCACAUACCUAUGCCUUAUAAAUUUAGCUUUAACCGUCAACACAUUGCAGCUCUUACUGCCCAUGGGUCCUGUCCCCAUGCUACCCCAUGCUGUGCUCUGAAUAAAACAACACUAGUGCCAGACCUUGAGAGUCCAAGAAAGCUUUCUUUCUGCUCCUCGGCUCACUGAGCCCGCGUCGUUUCUACAUGUAACUCUUUGUAUCUAUAUCAAGGCAAACAUAAGUUUAUAUUGAUCUCUUCCACUCGAAUCCAUUACCACAGGGAACAUUGUAGCCUCUUCCCCUUGCUUAUCUGUAAUCUCCCGCUGCAACAGUCGGAAACCUGCCUUCCACCAUCUGCUACUUGUUUACCCACUUCUUCAAUUGCGGCACACGCGCAGUGGUUGCAGAAUUGUGAACUCGUGCUCCUGCGGGAAACAACCUUAUCAACUAGAGUAAGUCCUUUUGCCUUUGGUCCUGUAGCCUCUACUCAUUUCCAAAGUUACUUAGGUCAGCGCCUCAUUCUCCCCUGCUCCUCAGUGAGGUUGUUUCCUACGUUUCUAACACAAUUAGAUUCUUUUC